CGAUAGCUCAGUUGGUAGAGCGGAGGACU
rnacentral:piRNA from 3 species